rnacentral:lncRNA from 10 species
AGUUUUGUAUUUUUAGUAGAGUCGGGUUUCACCAUGUUGGUCAGGCUGGUCUUGAACUCCUGACCUCAUGAUCCGCCCACCUCAGCCUCCCAAAGUGCUAGGAUUACAGGCAUGAGUCACUGCGCUCAGCCAAAGCCCUUUCUUGAUCAUAUAAAUGACUCUAGUGUCUUCGUGCUUGGUGACUGCUUUCUGUACCCUGCUACAGAUGAUGCUGCCUGUUUGUGAAACAGGACUGAUACAACUCUUCUGGAAGGAACUCUUUAAUAUCUAAAUAUCAAAACUGUUAAUCAUUAUUAUUAGUAAUUCAUUAUUAAUAUGUUAAUAGCUCAAGUACUACAAUUAACUAUUCAACUAUUCAGCCCUAGUUUUCCUUUUUUAAAUUUAUUUUUCCAAUAGCAGUGUUGUUUGAAUGCCAACUUCAGAUUUUAGUCUCCUUUCGACUUAGGUGAUUGUGAAUCUAUAAAUUCUUAACAAGAAGCAAAUGUGUAGAAUCUGUAAUGCUUAGAUUUUGUUAUUGGAGCUAUAGAAAAUGUUACAUUUAUGGUGUCAGACUCUAUUUAGCUGGUAAGGACAAAGCAAGAGCUAAGGCCAAUUACUUGUCAUCAUCAUCAUCAUCAUCAUCGUCAUAUUUCUGGAGCAUUCACUAUUUACCGGGCACUGAGCCAACAUUGUAUAUUCAUCAUAGCAUUUGGUUCUCAUAGCAGCUCUAUGAGGUUUGUGCCCACAUUAUCCCCAUUUUGCAGAUAAAAAAGCCAAGCCCCAGAAAGGUUAAGUAAAUUAUUCAAGGUCCACAGCCAGUGUGUGGCAGAACCAGAUUCUGAAAUCAGGCAGUCCAAUUCCAGAGUUCCAAUUCCUAACCAUUGUGCUAUUCAGUCUAAUGAAAGGAGCGAAAGAUUCAAGGUAGACAACUGUAUAUUGUCAAAGGCAUGUUCAACACCAGGGUUGCUUGUUUCUAAAUAAUGUUCAAGUCCAUGAACAGCUUUUUGCUAAUGUUUGGAGCAACUGAUAAAAUAUAUCAAGCAAAGAAAAGUGUGGACACAUCCAUGCACACUGGAGAAGUAGCAGAGUGGUUUAAUUUUGUGUUGGAGAAUCAAAGGCCAGAAUGAAAAGGCACUUUUUACAUCCCAAAGGAAAAUUCCCAUUCAGAAAGACAUUGAUGGCUUUUUUAGCGGCAUCCAUUCAUCUGCUCUGCAAAGGCAUGGGGUCAUGUGAUUUUGAGAGUACUGACUCUACUCCCAAUGCAUGGCAGUCAUGUAUAAUAAUUUAGGGGACAGUGAUUCCAUUCACAGUUCCAGAGGUAAACCCCCCUCCAAUUGACUAAACCCAAUCAGAAAAUCCUACUCUUGCAUAGGAUUGUUUCAGAGAUAGGCACAAAUCUCAUCCUAAGCCAAUCAGAGCACGGCACUUCCGUCGGCCAUGGUGAUUGAUUCAGAGAUGGGCAUGUGACUGGUUUGCUCAGUUAGAGUGAAACCUAGGAUUUUGUUUGGUAAUUGAGAUAAAGACACUUUUCUUCAGGAAGAUGUGGUGUACGGAACUGUUCCAGACAUUUUGUCACCAUGAUAAAAGUGAGUCUGAAAAGUAAACCAUCAUGUUCAGGAAGGCAAAAUCAACAGAACUGCAGAGCAAUGGAGUCAGCACCCUGAUCAAGCCAUUCCUGAAACUAGUGUUGACCCAUUUUUAUUUACAUGAAUCAAUAAAUUCCUUUCACUGUUCACAUUAUUUUAAGCUGGGGU